UACAGAGACUGCAAGCGUUAUUCGGAUUCACUGGGCGUAAAGGGUGCGCAGGCGGCCAAGUGUGUUAGGCGUGAAAGCCCGGGGCUUAACCCCGGAAUUGCACCUAAAACUACAUGGCUAGAGCAUUGGAGAGGGUAGCAGAAUUCAUGGUGUAGCAGUGAAAUGCGUAGAUAUCAUGAGGAAUACCAGAGGCGAAGGCGGCUACCUGGACAAUUGCUGACGCUCAGGCACGAAAGCGUGGGGAGCAAAAGGG
rnacentral:rRNA from 2 species